GUUGACUGGGUCCACUGAGACAAACAGAGUCUGUUGAGAGUUCAUCAGUUGACAGUCAGGAGGUCUGACGAGUUUAAUCUGAUGUUUCACUUCCAACAUUUACAAUCUACAGCAGCUCUUCAACACACAUCCACUGGGGACUGAUACUGUUCACACCUGCGAUUACACUACCCAGACGCUGUUGCAUUGUGGGGUUUUAUAACUGAACUUUGUGAGCAGGAACAGAAAAUAACUGAAGUUAAAGAUUCUGGUUUCCAUUUCUCUUCAGAAUCAGAACUUUUACUACUAAUGUGCAUCAAAGGGGACAGGUGAGUACGGGGACAGGUGAGUACGGGGACAGGUGAGUACGGGGACAGGUGAGUACGGUACGGGGACAGGUGAGUACAGGGACAGGUGAGUAAGGGGGACAGGUGAGUACGGGGACAGGUGAGUACGGGGACAGGUGAGUACAGACCUCUUAGGUGAGAUGAAGGGGAUGCAGAGCAGCAGGACGAAGAAGACCUCUGCGUACAGGAA